rnacentral:rRNA from 1 species
AUAAAGGUUUGGUCCUAGCCUUACCAUCAACUGUUUCUCAAUUUACACAUGCAAGUCUCAGCACACCCGUGAGAACGCCCUUUCAACCUUAACCAGGCCAAGGAGCUGGCAUCAGGCUCAACCUUCUGCCCAUAACGCCUAGUCUCACCACACCCCCAAGGGUAUUCAGCAGUGAUAAAUCUUGCGUAUAAGCGAUAGCUUGACUCAGUUAGAGAAAAGAGGGCCGGCUAACCCGGUGCCAGCCGCCGCGGCUACACCGUGGGGCCCAAGCUGAUGGUCAUCGGCGUUAAUCGUGAUUAAAGUUCCCACCAAUUAGGGUUAAAUUAACACUUAGUAGUGAUAAGCUUGUUGUUAAGAAAACCGUAAACGAAAGUUACCCUAAUUACACUUGAAUACACGACAGCUA